UACGGAGGAUGCGAGCGUUAUCCGGAUUUAUUGGGUUUAAAGGGUGCGUAGGCGGACUGUCAAGUCAGCGGUAAAAUACGGGGGCUCAACCAUAAAAUUGCCGUUGAAACUGACGGUCUUGAGUGGGCGAGAAGUAUGCGGAAUGCGUGGUGUAGCGGUGAAAUGCAUAGAUAUCACGCAGAACUCCGAUUGCGAAGGCAGCAUACCGGCGCCCGACUGACGCUGAAGCACGAAAGCGUGGGUAUCGAACAGG
rnacentral:rRNA from 1 species